rnacentral:rRNA from 1 species
GACACGACUCCCGGCAAUGGAUAUCUCGGCUCUCGCAUCGAUGAAGAGCGCAGCGAAAUGCGAUACGUGGUGCGAAUUGCAGAAUCCCGCGAAC